rnacentral:rRNA from 1 species
CUACACAUGCAAGUCGAGCGGCAGCACGGGUACUUGUACCUGGUGGCGAGCGGCGGACGGGUGAGUAAUGCCUAGGAAUCUGCCUGGUAGUGGGGGAUAACGCUCGGAAACGGACGCUAAUACCGCAUACGUCCUACGGGAGAAAGCAGGGGACCUUCGGGCCUUGCGCUAUCAGAUGAGCCUAGGUCGGAUUAGCUAGUUGGUGAGGUAAUGGCUCACCAAGGCGACGAUCCGUAACUGGUCUGAGAGGAUGAUCAGUCACACUGGAACUGAGACACGGUCCAGACUCCUACGGGAGGCAGCAGUGGGGAAUAUUGGACAAUGGGCGAAAGCCUGAUCCAGCCAUGCCGCGUGUGUGAAGAAGGUCUUCGGAUUGUAAAGCACUUUAAGUUGGGAGGAAGGGCAGUUACCUAAUACGUAUCUGUUUUGACGUUACCGACAGAAUAAGCACCGGCUAACUCUGUGCCAGCAGCCGCGGUAAUACAGAGGGUGCAAGCGUUAAUCGGAAUUACUGGGCGUAAAGCGCGCGUAGGUGGUUCGUUAAGUUGGAUGUGAAAUCCCCGGGCUCAACCUGGGAACUGCAUUCAAAACUGACGAGCUAGAGUAUGGUAGAGGGUGGUGGAAUUUCCUGUGUAGCGGUGAAAUGCGUAGAUAUAGGAAGGAACACCAGUGGCGAAGGCGACCACCUGGACUGAUACUGACACUGAGGUGCGAAAGCGUGGGGAGCA